UAAGUCCCCAGGCCUAAAAGGAAGCACUGGACCAGAUAGAUUCACCGACAUGAGGCACCUGUGCAGCCUUGUGGGCAGCAGCAGCCAAGCAGCCAAUCCUGGCCGGGUCCUGGCCUUGCCCCACACGUUCCAUUCAAAGUUUUGGCAGUGGGGACUGACAUCUGCACAACCAAGAUCACUUCCCUGUGGCUUUCGCAAAGCUAGUGUGGCUGCCUUGAGGCUAAAAGGAGGAAAAUAAAGAACCCACCCACAUUAAUUGCAAGAAGACUUCAGCCAAUGCCACAAUGAGGAUGACUCACAUUGUCAUACACAAGCUCUUAGGACCUUACAUAGAGAAAAUGUUUCGUCUCAAUUUCCAGUGUUAAAUGCAAAAGAGCAGGAAGACUCUUGAUCUGUGGCUUGAACCCCCAGUCCCCCAGUUCACUCUUGACAUUACAUGACGUGCUAGAAAGUGCAUCAGUUGGACAGAACCGAGUUUGAACCCUGGCUUUGUUAGAAACCAGCUAUGAACCAGUUACUUAAACUCCCUUAUCUUCAGUUUUCUCAUCAGGAAAAAAACGGAGUUCUUUUGAAAUCAAAUGAAAUGAUGUGCAUGAAAGUGCAGAACAUACGGAAAGUGCUUAAUGAGAUAUUAGUUUCCCUUCUCGUAUGUCAACCACAGGUAGAAUCUCCUUAACUGUGCUGGAAGCUCUAUAAAGGCAGGGACUGUGCCUAUGGUAUGUGCCAUUAUAUCACCAACGCUUAGUAUAAUGGCUGGCCCGUAGUCAGUAUUCAAUAAAUAUUGGUUAAAUACUUAAUGGUUGUAAUGGUUAAUAUUGAGUGUCAACUUGACUGCAUUGAAGGAUGCAAAGUAUUGUUCCUGGAUGUGUCUGUGAGGGUGUAGCCAAAGGAGAUUAACAUUUGAGUCAGUGGAUUGGGAAAGGCAGACCCACCCUCAGUCUGAGAGGGCACCAUCUAAUCAGCAGCCAUGGAGGCCAGAAUAAAAGCAGGCAGAAGAACGUGGAAAGAUUAGACUGACUAAGUCUUCUGGACUCCAUCUUUCUCCAUGCUGGAUGCUUCCUGCCUUGGAACAUCGGAUUCCAAUAUUCUUCAGCUUUGGGACUCGGACUGGCUUCCUUACUCCUCAGCUUGCAGAUGGCCUAUUGUAGGACCCCACCUUGUGAUCAUGUGAGUCAAUACUCCUUAAUAAACUCCCCUUUAUAAAGACUCGGCCUAGAGUUACUUCUGCAUAGUUUUCAAAAUCCCUUCUUCAAGACAGUCAAUGUUUUUUAUGAUUCUUUGAUAUCCAUAGCCCUUCUACAAAGCGUGCUAUGCCUUCUUUAAUAAAGUGGAAUUCUAUGCCCUG